rnacentral:rRNA from 1 species
GCUCUCGGGUGACGAGCGGCGGACGGGUGAGUAAUGUCUGGGAAACUGCCUGAUGGAGGGGGAUAACUACUGGAAACGGUAGCUAAUACCGCAUAACGUCGCAAGACCAAAGUGGGGGACCUUCGGGCCUCAUGCCAUCAGAUGUGCCCAGAUGGGAUUAGCUGGUAGGUGGGGUAACGGCUCACCUAGGCGACGAUCCCUAGCUGGUCUGAGAGGAUGACCAGCCACACUGGAACUGAGACACGGUCCACACUCCUACGGGAGGCAGCAGUGGGGAAUAUUGCACAAUGGGCGCAAGCCUGAUGCAGCCAUGCCGCGUGUGUGAAGAAGGCCUUCGGGUUGUAAAGCACUUUCAGCGGGGAGGAAGGCGGUGAGGUUAAUAACCUGACCGAUUGUAGUUACCCGCAGAAGAAGCACCGGCUAACUCCGUGCCAGCAGCCGCGGUAAUACGGAGGGUGCAAGCGUUAAUCGGAAUUACUGGGCGUAAAGCGCACGCAGGCGGUCUGUCAAGUCGGAUGUGAAAUCCCCGGGCUCAACCUGGGAACUGCAUUCGAAACUGGCAGGCUAGAGUCUUGUAGAGGGGGGUAGAAUUCCAGGUGUAGCGGUGAAAUGCGUAGAGAUCUGGAGGAAUACCGGUGGCGAAGGCGGCCCCCUGGACAAAGACUGACGCUCAGGUGCGAAAGCGUGGGGAGCAACAGGAUUAGAUACCCUGGUAGUCCACGCUGUGAACGAUGUCGAUUUGGAGGUUGUGCCCUUGAGGCGUGGCUUCCGGAGCUAACGCGUUUAAUCGACCGCCUGGGGAGUACGGCCGCACGGUUAAACUCUAAUGAAUUGACG